GUGUAAUUGGAGAGAAAAAUGGGAUUUGUUGGGAUUUGGGUCAUGGAAUUCGGGAGAAAUGGGUUUUGGUGGGAUUUGGGUCAUAAACUGGGGAUAAAAAUAGGAUUUGUUGGGAUUUGGGUCGUUGAAUUGGAGAGAAGAUGGGAUUUGGUGGGAUUUGGGUCAUAUACUGGGGAGAAAAAUGGGAUUUGUUGGGAUUUGGGUUGUAGAAUUGGGGAGAAAAAUGGGAUUUGGUGGGAUUUGGGUCUUAAACUGGGGAUAAAAUGGGAUUUGGUUCGAUUUGGGUCAUAUACUGGGGAGAAAAAUGGGAUUUGUUGGGAUUUGGGUCGUAGAAUUGGGGAGAAAAAUGGGAUUUGUUGGGAUUUGGGUCAUAAACUGGAGGGAAAAAUGGGAUUUGUUGGGAUUUGGGUGGUGGAAUUGGGGAGAAAAAUGGGAUUUGGUGGGAUUUGGAUCAUAAACUGGGGAGAAAAGUGGGAUUUAGGUCAUGGAAUUGGGGAGAAAAAUGGGAUUUGUUGGGAUUUGAGUCUUAAACUGGGGAUAAAAUGGGAUUUGGUGGGAUUUGAGUCAUGGAAUUGGGGAGAAAAAUGGGAUUUGUUGGGAUUUGGGUCUUAAACUGGGGAUAAAAUGGGAUUUGGUGCGAUUUGAAUUGUGGAAUUGGGAUCAAAACAGGAUUUGGGUCAUAAACUGGGGAGAAAAAUGGGAUUUGGUGGGAUUUGGGUGGUGGAAUUGGGGAGAAAAUGGGAUUUGUUGGGAUUUGGGUCGAGGAAUUGGGGUGAAAAAUGGGAUUUGGUGGGAUUUGGGUCAUAAACUGGGGAGAAAAAUGGGAUUUGUUGGGACUU
rnacentral:lncRNA from 1 species